rnacentral:lncRNA from 1 species
CAGCCGCAAGUGGAUAAUAUUAAUAGUGUAAAAAUAUGCAAGUGUUCGGUAAACAGGAAGUUGUCGAGUGAUGAAUCUGAAAACGCAUCACACGGUAUAGCUGACUUAUAAAAAUCCUGAAACCAAAUUUCAGAAAUCCUUGUAUUGUAGUUCCUGAGAAAAAUGUGACGAAAAUUUUUAACUUGGUUAUCAUGUGUAAAAUCAUACAAGUGUUCGGUAAACAGGAAGUUGUCGAGUGAUGAAUCUGAAAACGCAUCACACGGUAUAUCUGACUUAUAUAAAUCCUGAAACCAAAUUUCAGAAAUCCUUGUAUUGUAGUUCCUGAGAAAAAUGUGACGAAAAUUUUCAACUUGGCUAUCAUGUGUAAAAUCAGACAAGUGUUCGGUAAACAGGAAGUUGUCAAGUGAUGAAUCUGAAAACGCAUCACACGGUAUGGCUGACAUAUAUAAAUGUUGAUACCAAAUUACAGAAAGGGUGGAUGUGUAGUUCCUGAGAAAAAUGUGACGAAAGUUUCAUGGGACGGACUGACUGACGGACGGACUGACGGACGGACGGACAGACAGACAGAGGUAAAACAGUAUACCCCCCCUUUUUUAAAGCGGGGGUAUAAUUACUAAGAAAUA